UACGUAGGGUGCAGGCGUUAAUCGGAAUUACUGGGCGUAAAGCGUGCGCAGGCGGUUUCUUAAGUCCGAUGUGAAAGCCCCGGGCUUAACCUGGGAACUGCGUUUGAAACUGGGAGACUUGAGUGUGGCAGAGGGGGGUGGAAUUCCACGUGUAGCAGUGAAAUGCGUAGAUAUGUGGAGGAACACCGGUGGCGAAGGCGGGUCUCUGGGCAACAACUGACGCUGAGGAGCGAAAGCGUGGGGAGCGAACAGG
rnacentral:rRNA from 1 species